AUUUAGCUCUGCUUUAGUUCGGUUCCACGUCUUGUGCCAUGUCUUCCAGUUGAUUGGAGGACCCGAUAAGACCCAGUA
rnacentral:sRNA from 1 species